UGAGGAAUAUUGCACAAUGGGCGCAAGCCUGAUGCAGCAACGCCGCGUGCGGGACGAAGGCCUUCGGGUCGUAAACCGCUUUUCUGGGGAAAGAGCAAGGACGGUACCUCAGGAAUAAGUCUCGGCUAACUACGUGCCAGCAGCCGCGGUAAAACGUAGGAGGCGAGCGUUAUCCGGAUUUACUGGGCGUAAAGCGCACGCAGGCGGCUCUGUAAGUUGGACGUGAAAGCUCCCGGCUUAACUGGGAGAGGUCGUUCGAUACUGCGGGGCUUGAGGUUGGGAGAGGGGUGCGGAAUUCCCGGUGUAGUGGUGGAAUGCGUAGAUAUCGGGAGGAACACCAGUGGCGCAAGCGGCGCCCUGGCCCCACACCUGACGCUGAGGUGCGAAAGCGUGGGUAGCAAACAGGAUUAGAUACCCUGGUAGUCCACGCCGUAAACGAUGUCAACUGGGUGUCGGUAGUUUUACACUAGCGGUGCCGAAGCUAACGCGUAAGUUGACCGCCUGGGGACUACGGCCG
rnacentral:rRNA from 1 species